CAUCAGACGGAUGGGCAUCUGUGAGCAGAUGACCGCGUCUGUGAGCAGCCAGCCUGCUGGACCUCCUCUUCCAUGGCACUGGGUGUCACUUGUGUUUUGCAGACUCAGAAGAAGCCUGCCAUUCUCUACAACUUCUUGCUAGAAACAAUGACCUAUGUUAAAAGCAACUUGUCAAGGAUCAGAAUCGCUGCAUGUAACUUGGCAGGAAUCAUUAUGAAGCAGAUGUCUGCGCAUUACUUGAGAAAGCUGGAUUUUCCAGCAUUACGGAAUUCUCUCCAGGAGCUACAGCUGGACUCAGAUCCUGGUGUUUGGAGGGCAGCUCUGG